CAGUAGCCGCGGGAAUACGUAGGGUCCGAGCGUUGUCCGGAAUUAUUGGGCGUAAAGGGCUCGUAGGCGGUUUGUUGCGUCGGGAGUGAAAACCGGGUGCUUAACACCUGGCUUGCUUUCGAUACGGGCAGACUUGAGGCAUGCAGGGGAGAACGGAAUUCCUGGUGUAGCGGUGAAAUGCGCAGAUAUCAGGAGGAACACCGGUGGCGAAGGCGGUUCUCUGGGCAUGUUCUGACGCUGAGGAGCGAAAGUGUGGGGAGCGAACAGGAUUAGAUACCCCGGUAGUCCCUGUCUCUUAUAC
rnacentral:rRNA from 1 species